UACGGAGGGUGCGAGCGUUAUCCGGAAUCACUGGGUUUAAAGGGUGCGUAGGCGGGAAGAUAAGUCAGGGGUGAAAUCUCGUCGCUUAACGACGGAAUUGCCUUUGAUACUGUUUUUCUUGAAAUAUGUUGAGGUUGGCGGAAUGAGACAUGUAGCGGUGAAAUGCUUAGAUAUGUCUUAGAACACCGAUUGCGAAGGCAGCUGACUGGACAUUAUUUGACGCUGAGGCACGAAAGCGUGGGGAUCAAACAGG
rnacentral:rRNA from 1 species